rnacentral:rRNA from 1 species
AUACGUGCCUAAGGGUAGAAGAGAAUUGAUCGGCGGAUAGAGGUGGCCGGCGUUGGAAUAACUUAGGGGGGGGGGUAAUGGUUGACCCAAGGCGGAGGAUCAAUGAGCUGGUCUGGGGGGAUGAUCGGCCACAUUGGGAGUUGGGCGCGGCCCAGAAUCAUUCGGGAGGCAGCAGGGGGGAAUAUUGGACAAUGGGCGCAAGCCGGAUCCAGCCAUGCCGCGUGAGUGAUGACGGCCUUAGGGUUGUAAAGCUCUUUCAGUGGUGAAGAUAAUGACGGUAACCACAGAAGAAGCCCCGGCUAACUCCGUGCCAGCAGCCGCGGUAAUACGGAGGGGGCAAGCGUUGUUCGGAAUUACUGGGGGUAAAGCGCGCGUAGGCGGGUCUUUAAGUCAGAGGUGAAAUCCUGGAGCUCAACUCCAGAACUGCCUUUGAUACUGGAGAUCGUGAGUCCGGAAGAGGUUAGUGGAAUUCCCAGUGUAGAGGUGAAAGUCGUAGAUAUUGGGAAGUAAGCUUCCAGUGGCGAGAGGC